CUGGAUUUUCCUGCCUUGAUAGCUCCGCAGAAAAUGCUAAGAGCCCAACAAGGUUGUGAAGGGUGUGUGCGUGUUUGUGUGUGUGUCUGUGUGCUGUGUUUGUGUGUGUCUCUGUGUGUUUGUGUGUCUGUGUGUGUUUGUGUGUGUUUGCAUCUGUGUGUUUGUGUCUGUGGGUUUGUGUGUGUCUGUGGGUUUGUGUGUGUGUGUGUGUUUUGGUUUGUGUGUGUCUGUGGGUUUGUGUGUGUGUUUGUGUUUGUGUCUGUGUGUCUGUGUGUGUUUGUGUGUGUGUGUCUGUGUGUGUUUGUGUAUCUGUGUGUGUUUGUGUGUGUUUGCAUCUGUGUGUUUGUGUCUGUGGGUUUGUGUGUGUCUGUGGGUUUGUGUGUGUGUUUGUGUUUGUGUGUGUGUGUUUGUGUUUGUGUGUGUUGUGUGUGUGUCUGUGUGUGUUUGUGUGUGUCUGUGUGUCUGUGUUUGUGUGUGUUUGUGUGUGUCUGUGUGUUUAUGUUUGUGUCAGUGUGUGUCUCUGUGUGUGUGUGUGUGUGUGUGUAUGUGUAUUGGGAGGGCAGUGGUCCAGCUCCUCACGGGCAUCAGGCUCUGUAGCAGGGCCCACCGUCUCGGCAGGAGGGUGCGAUGGCCUCACCCACACUGUCCAGGCAGGUCUCUUGGGACCCCUUUUCCAGCACAGGUGCCUUCUCCCUAGGAAACGGCGAAGAUGUAAUCACCACACUCAGGUGUAAACUCUGUAGCUGGGUUCUAAACUAGAACCUACUGAUCAUGGGAUUCAGGUGUGCCUGAACUUGGAUGGAAAAACGUUGCAUCUUUAUUUUCACCAACCUCUAGCCUAAAGUGAGUGUUCCUCAAUAGUGAAUGUGGCCAAAGGACCUAGCGGUCUCCACAGAACCUGGGACUCCACCGUCAGCAAAGUCCUGUGUAUUUUCCCAACGUGUUUCAGUUGCUUCAGUGUCUUGAAGCCUCAUUUUUCUUCCUGCUUCAACACUGUUAAUCAUGAGAGCUGCUGCUAGAUCUGGAUCAGUAGGUUAUUUUUUUAUCUGUUGCCCAGGCUGGAGUGCAGUGGCACAAUCUCAGCUCACUGCAACCUCCGCCUCCCGGGUUCAAGUGAUUCUCCUGCCUCAGCCUCCCGAGUAGCUGGGACUACAGGCGCGCGCCACCACACCCAGCUGAUUUUUGUAUUUUUAGUAGAGAUGGGGGGGUCUCACCAUGUUGGCCAGCCUGGUCUUGAACCCCUGACCUCAGGUGAUCCACCCGCCUUGGCCUCCCAAAGUGCUGAGAUUACAGGCGUGAGCCACUGCGCCCAGCCUGAAUCAGUAGAUUAACAAGAAAUCCAAUAACAAUUACUUUAUUAUUUUGGUAACCAUAUUUCAAUAUAGUUGGUGUAUGAGUUGGUUCUCACACUGCUAUAAAGAUACUACAAGAGACUGGGUAAUUUAUAAACAAAGGAGGUUUUAUUUAUUUAUUGAGACAGAGUCUUGUUUUGUCCCCCAGGCUGGAGUGCAAUGGUGCAAUCUCAGCUCACUGCAACCUCCGCCUCCUGGUUUCAAGUGAGGCUCCUGCCUCAGCCUCCCAAGUAACUGGGAUUACAGGUGCGUGCCACCAUGCCUGGCUAAUUUUUGUAUUUUUAGUAGGACGGGGUUUCACCAUGUUGGCCAGGCUGGUCUCAAACUCCUGACCUCAAGUGAUCCACCCACCUCAGCCUCCCAAAGUGCUGGUAUUACAGGUGUGAGCCACCUCGCCCAGCCCACAAAGGAGGUUUAAUUGACUCACAGUUCUGCAUGGCUGGGGAGGCCUCAGGAAACUUACAAUCAUGGUGGAAGGGAAGCAGGUGCCUUCUUCACAAGGCAGCAGGAGAAAAAAGUUCAAGCGGGGAAAUGCCAGCUGAAGCCUGGGCCCAGGUGAUUACUGAGGCCGAGAGGUCCCAAGCCUACCGCCUGCUCGUUGGGACUCAGGGAAGUUGGUGGUGCAGUGAGGUCUGAGUCCGAAGGCCUGAGAGCCAGAGGGCUGAUGGCGUUAAUCUCAGUGUCAGGGCCAGAGACAGUGAGGUGAGUGUCCCAGCUCAGGCAGCGUGGCAGGAAAAGGGGGGCAAAUGCACCUUUCUCUGCCUUCCGCGCUAUUCGGGUCCUCAGCGGAUUGGGUGACGUCACCCACCCUGGGGAGGGCGGCCUGCUUUACAGAGCCCACUGCUUCAAAUGCUAAUCUCAUCUGGAACACCCUCGGACAUCCCCAGAAAUAAAGUUCAACCCAGCACCCCACGGCCAGGGGAGUUGAUACAUAAAGUUAACCAUCACACCGCCCGCAUGGAGAGGGAGCCCACAGGAAGGAGCUGGUGCUGCUGUCUCGACUCUGACCCUCGGCCGUGUGGGUUGUUCUGGCCCCUGCCCCUAUUUGUCUGUAGCUCCCACCCCACAGUGAGGAACCUGCCCCAGCACCCACCAUCGGUGGACCUAAUCGCUAAGCUCCAGUGUGCAGGGGCAGCAGUGUAGGAACUGCUCACCUGUACCCUGCGGCAGAAGCAUGUGUCUACCAGGGUACAGGGCUCAUGUGCGGGUCCAUUUGCUUUUGGCUUCACAGACUUCAUCAUUUGUGAGGGUACCCAGGUCAGCCUCAUCCCCCAGCCCCUCCCUACGUCUGUAAUACAGCUGCUGCCCGGGUCUGUAAUACAGCCAGAGGCUCUCGCCACACAUGGCUCACCUUCCGUCCUAGACACCCAGCCUCUUGACUGAACUUUAAAAUUUGCAUACAGUAAGGCUCACUCUUGCUGUAAAGUUCUGUGGGUUUUGACAGAUGCAUAGUGUGGUGUCUCUGCCAUUACAGUGUCGUUCACAUUAGUUUCACAGCCCUAAAAACUCCCCUGUGCUCCACCGAUUCAACCAUUUCCUCUUUCCCGAACUCCUGGCAACAACUGUUUCCAUAAAUGUAUUUUUGUGGUGGGUUUUUGGUGAACAAUUUUAUCAAAUUAGAAAUAUUUCAUUUGUUUCAAUUUCUAAUUUGCCCAGAAAUUUUUAAAAAGUCACCGAUGGCAUCACUUGAGACAUUGGGACACUUUUUGCCCUGUCAUCUAUUCAGAUGGUAUUUGCAUGGAUUGGAUUCUGAUAUUAAACCUUCCUUGAAUUCCUAGGAGAAACCCUUAGAUCUAUCAGGGUCCCAGCAGGAAAGAGACCUACAUUUAGAGCAGGUUACUUGCAGCAGUGUUUAACAAAGGGGCUCUUUAUAAAGGUGGGGCAGAGUAUUGGAAACCUCAAGGGGCAGUACAUGUCGCAGGGCUGGCCAAAGGCAUGCCUGGUAGAGAGAAGUUUCUGGAAUGUGAAGGAGAGUGCUGUGGAGAGGGAGACGCCUGGAGAGGAGCCAUGACAUUCCCCAGGUCACCUCACACAGUCAUCUGCCCUCAUUUGCAGAUCACAUAUCAGCUUACUUAGCAAGCCCAACAGAAUGGACAGGAAAACUUAAUGUUAUAAACACAUAAUUCUCCCCAGAGGGACAUAAUAAAUUCAAUGCAAUCCU
rnacentral:lncRNA from 1 species